GGUCCUGACCUGCUCAACCGGUAGAGCAUGGCCCGAUCGUUGCCAGGGGUUAGGGGUUCGAUUCCCACUGGGACCA